rnacentral:rRNA from 1 species
UACGUAGGGGGCUAGCGUUGUCCGGAAUCAUUGGGCGUAAAGAGCGUGUAGGCGGUCCGGUAAGUCCGCUGUGAAAGUCGGGGGCUCAACCCUCGAAUGCCGGUGGAUACUGUCGGGCUAGAGUGCGGAAGAGGCGAGUGGAAUUCCUGGUGUAGCGGUGAAAUGCGCAGAUAUCAGGAGGAACACCAAUAGCGAAGGCAGCUCGCUGGGACGGUACUGACGCUAAGGCGCGAAAGCGUGGGGAGCGAACGAGG